UCGCAGCGACGGCGACGGCGACGGCCUCCUGCGCGGCUCCUCUCUUCCCCGCUUUCCCGUCGUGGUUUUACAAAGAGAUACAAUUGCUUGGUCGAGAGCAUUGGGAAUAAGGUGGGGUUGAGGAUAAGAUGUACUCGGUCCACUAAGGGAGCGACGCGUUUUUUUCCGCCGCACAGGAGCUUCCGCUAUGCGGCGCUUCUCUUUAGAUUUUCCCAAAAAAAAAUCCACAUCCCUCGCUCAGUGCCCCCAUCCAACCCCGACCGCGAGCGCCCUCAUGGCUCCAUUCCCCCGCGACCACCGCAUGGCGCAUCGCGCCGCCCCAAAGAUGAGCCCUAGCGCGCUGCCGCAGAAGCCCAGCCCAGCCCAGAGCGCCACGCACGCUCGCUCAUUCGCGCCGCCAGAUGCUCCCCCAAUUCUUCGCACCAAUGGAGCAUCUCCGUGCCGAACCCAGGAUCCCCGCCGCCAAGUAGGUUCCGGGUUUGCCCGUGUGUUCCCCGGAUCCUGCCGUCCUGAGUUCACCAACCGGCCGGCUCAGAUCCACGCCACCUCAAUCCCUGAGAAGACACCCUCAUAUGGAGACCUAGGAGCUGGGCUCCGUUUUCCGCCACCCCUCCAGAAGCAGCUCGACGGCGCUGAGGCUCCCGUAGAGGAGCAGCGUCAGUCCAAGGAGAAUAGCGCCCGGAUUCUUGAUGGAAUACUGCUUUUCGAUGCAAGGAUGGUUGGAUGCAGCGAGGAGCGCAAUCCCAUUGGUUAAUUACUUGGUUUACUAGGAGUAUGGUUUCCUGGCUGGUCCCAGUUCUAAGGGAUGAGAUUUAUUCUAUCAUCAUGGGGAAGAUGGUUUUUAUUAUUACCAUACAGAAGUACAAGGUUGGACUUCAGGUAGGUGAUCCCUGACCCAAAUGACAAUUAUAUAUACGCCCUCCCCCACUCCCCAAUAGGAAAAUAUGUACUAUGACUGAUAUUUUCAGUCUGUCAUUUUAGACUCAUCUCUCCAUUUGUCACCAUCUUGGUUCUACAACUCAAUUUGUUCGUGUGCAUGAUUGCUAGCUUCUCCUCACUUUGCUUAUUCCUCUGUUAAGAUCGAUACAUUUUCAUCCUGAAAAUUACAAUAAUGGAUUUGCGAGCAAGAACUCAUGCCAACAGAAAAAACAUAAAUACUAACCUGCAGUCAAUGGUGUCCGUCCGUGGAUAACGAGGUGGCUUCUGGGAGAUGCAGGACGCCGGCGUCCGGGGAGAUGCAGGCCUUCGCUCGGUUCCUCGGUAGGUUAAGUCUAGAGUGGCGGGAGUGCAUCGUUAGUGGAGGAACGGGGCGGCCUUGUGGAGAUGCACGCCGUCGGUGGGAUGGGGGGAUGGCGGUGCGGUGUCCUGACGGCUAGGUUAGGCCCCCGGGAUGAGGGCGUUUAGGAAAUAUGUGACCGUUAUAACUCAGCAAUCGUUCUUCCUUCCUUUAUUGACCGUUUCACCGUGGUUUCAUAAAGAUUAAUUUAGGAAAUACGUGACUUGACUGGAAAUGUUGAUUUUACCUCGAAUUUCUGUUGCUGCUCGAUGUCUUUUGCGCAAGUUGCGCUUAUUUGAAUUUCAUGCAAAGUUGUUGCAUAGAUUACUUUCUCUUCAUUAUGUUGUGAUUUUUUUUACUCUGUGCAAGAAGGUAUGCUUGUGUCAAUGUCUUGGAAAUAUUAGCAUCUUCAACGAAAUUCAUCAUUUAAUUACCCUUAAGUGGAGGUCUUUCCCUGUAUUGAAAUAUAAUAGUUACAACAUGGAGCUUAUACUACCAAUGGUUUAUACUCCAGAAUUGUACACAUGUAUCUACCUAGGAUAGAUUACCCUGAUUUUUUUGUUACCCUGGUGCCAGGAAGGGCUCUACUGUGUCCAUGUCUUGAAAAUCUUAGCAUAAUAAAAUGAAAUUCUUCAUUUAAUCACCCUUGAGUUAGACAUAUUUAUCUGUACUUUGUAAUACAAUAUUUACAGUAUAAAGCUUAUACUACCAAUGGUUUGUAGUAUAGAAUUGCACACAUAUCUCUACCAAGGAUAGCUUAUACAACCAAUGGUUUACUGUCAUUUUUUGCAGUAUAUUUCACCGAAGGAAAUUUAUCUUCACAGGAAAAUUUAAUUGAGUAUAUUUUAUUUUACACAAAGAAUGAUGUAAGCUGCAUGUUAUUUGAAUCUUACAAUAGAGGUUUAUUGUUUAGAUUUAAUUAUGGACUGAAAGAUCUUAUGAUUGGGGAGCAGUAUAGCAAAGAAGGGGUUUCAAGGAUCAGAGUGGGUCGUGCCAUUCUCCAUAUGGGUUCCCCUCGUGACUGCCCUCUGGGCAACGAUUCAGGCAAUCAUCAUUUCCCAUGUGUUGCUUAGGCGAUUAAAGUCAUUUCAGCUCAGUUCUAGAGUUCCUCAAUGUUUCCUCUUGCUUUGGAGUUGAUAUCAUUUCUGUUCAUUUGCUUCCAGGCAGAUGCAUCUGUAGAAUGUUAGUGGCUAGAUUUGUUCUUAACCAUUUCGCCUUUCAAAGGAUGAAGCCCAACUUGCCCAAGUACCUCUCCAAGGCCUAGCAAGUGGCCAUGUCCUUCACAUGUACAAUAUAUCCAUGUUCAUACUUUGCUGAAACUCGACUUAUACACUCUGUCUACAGUGCAAUUUUAUACCUUUGGAAAUGUUUUUCUCAGAGAUAGCUUUAUCAAACUUGACUCAGCGAGCUGUCAUGCAUUGCUUUCAUGUUUUUAGGAAACUGGGUUGUUAUCCCUCCUGUUCAAGACGGAUGCCAUGAGUUUUUUCUUGAUAUUAAUCACAUGGAUUUUGGUGUAUCCAAUAGAAAGAAGUGAUUUGAUGAUUAUUUGAUGAUUUAUAGUGGUGAAGAAGUUAGUACUGCUGUUUUGAUGCAGCUCACCAUUUUUUACUAUGCUCCUCAACGAUGGUAUGACUGGAGUUGUGGUGUCGAACUACCGAUGUUAGUGGCCAUCAUAGUAUUCAUGGGCAUGGAAGCGUAGCUUUGCCUGGGACCAAGCAUGCAACCCAGUAGCGAAGCUGGCAGCGACAACAACAACAUGGACGUCGAGGUUGCCAGUCACCAGUGUGCUGUUUGCUGCGAGCUAUUUUGACACAUUUAGAGAGAUCGUAUAAGUUCUUUGCUUCUCUGUCCAGAUGUUCAUUGAAUAUCUAAAGCUUUGUAGUAAAUCUAAAGAAAUAUUUCCUAGCGGCUGCCAAGUCUGUCUAUACAA